rnacentral:tRNA from 1 species
UCCUAAAUAGUUCAGUGAUAGAGUGGUCGGCUGUUAAUCGAUUGGUCAUAGUUUUAAAUCCUACUUGAGGGA